rnacentral:sRNA from 1 species
ACAAUUAAAACAUUUUGCAAGAACUGAU